CCCACCUCCCGCCUCUCACCGGUGUCUCUUCCACCGACCUCACAAUGUACAGAGCACGGCGCUGUGGUCCUGGCUUUGUUUGGGCGACAUACAUAAAAUCUAAAUUCGUAAAGGAAUCAGUUCAUUGAUUGGAAAAGUAUCCGUAGACCGGAUUUCCAAAGUGAGAAUCCUGAUGACCAGUGCCAAGUACAGGCACAGUGUCGUUUGAUUGUGACACGCCCGCCAGUCGAAAUAGUAACUGACUUCCAGUUUCUUCAUUCAGCCGCAUGAUAAAAAGGGAUCACUGGAAAGACCCAAAGUGCAAUCUCUAUACUGAACACGGGACAUGAACUCACAGUCCACGACCUGGAGAUCAAGACUUGCAUGUCCUUUUGACUAAGCCAGCCAGGUGCCCCCAAAAGAAAAAUUUUUGAGUGAGUUUUGAAUAUGAGGUCAGAAUUUCAGCUUUUGACAUCGCACAUCACCAAUCUCAGGAAGUUCUGUCUUCUGUGGUAAUAUGUUUAUGCACACACAACAUGUGUUCCUGUAACAGAGCUGUCAGAAAAUUUUGCGUAAAUGUAAACAUAAUACAGGAGAUACAGGAUUUAAUUCAUGGACAUUAGGAAAAAGCAGGAGGCUUAUGAAAGAUGAAUGAAAAUAAUAGCAUAUAUGAAAAAAACACUAUAAAAAUUUUGAGAUAGAGGGAAAGCUUAGGACUAGCUCAAUGGAAAAUGGCCAGACUUGAGUUCAGGAAAGGGAAGGAGACCGUCUGGGUACAUAGCUUUCCUAGUGCACGAAGAAGCUUGGUCCAUAAACUGUAUCACAUUUCCCAGGCUCCGUAGCUCUUGGGGAUAGGCUUCCGGCAGCAGUAAGAGAACAAUUCUAGUCUGCCUCUUGGGAAGUUACAUCCAUUAUUAAAGGUUUUAGCCUAGUAGAGUAUCUCAGGCUGCACGCAGCAGACAUAAACUGGUUAACUUCAGGAAACGGGGGAAGUUCCUGGGUCGGGAAGAGAAGAAGCCACAGGGACAACUCUGGGGACUUGGGCACUAGGAGCCCUUACCUGUGUCUCCAGGAUCCUGCCGGCCGUGUGUUGUGGUUCCAGUGACAGUCUCUGCGUCUCCAGGAUCCUGCCGGCCGUGUGUUGUGGUUCCAGUGACAGUCUCUGCGUCUCCAGGAUCCUGCCGGCCGUGUGUUGUGGUUCCAGUGACAGUCUCUGCGUCUCCAGGAUCCUGCCGGCCGUGUGUUGUGGUUCCAGUGACAGUCUCUGCGUCUCCAGGAUCCUGCCGGCCGUGUGUUGUGGUUCCAGUGACAGUCUCUGCGUCCCCAGGAUCCUGCCGGCCGUGUGUUGUGGUUCCAGUGACAGUCUCUGCGUCUCCAGGAUCCUGCCGGCCGUGUGUUGUGGUUCCAGUGACAGUCUCUGUGUCUCCAGGAUCCUGCCGGCCGUGUGUUGUGGUUCCAGUGACAGUCUCUGUGUCCCUAUGAGGGCUCCUUCAUGCAGUCAGAAAUAUAGCAAGAUCAGGAAACACCAGCACCCGUACAGGUUGGAGGUGUCCUCACUCUGAAGGUAACUGAGAUUCCUCAGGGAUGUUGUGGAGUGGGAGAUGUAAGGAUUUCAGGAUCUAAGUCUGAGGACCUCGGAUACGUAAGACACAGAUGGAGAAAAGACAGCAACCCAGGAGGCAGGAGAAAGCAGGCGAGCAUGGCAUCUUAAGAGGUCACUCACUCUGGGACAAGCCACUACCAUGCUCUGAGGGCACUCAAGAAGUCCUAUGGAGAAGCCCACGUGGUAAGAAGCCGAGCCUCCUGCCAAGAGUUCGUGAGUCAAGCCUUCAGAUGAUUGCAGCCUUGGCCAGCGUCUUGACAGCAACCUCAUGAGUGACUCUGAGCCCAGAUCACCCAGUUAAGCUACUCUUGAAUUCCUGACUCACAGAAAUUAUAAGAUCAUAAAUGUUUGCUGUUUUAAACCACUAAGUUUGGGGGUGAUUUGUUAUGCAGAAGUAGAUAAUGCACUGUUCAAAUGAAAAAGGGUACUCGUCCUCUACACUUAUACAUAGUAUAUAUUUGCACAUGGACUUUUACACACACACAUGCAUUAUUUUAUUCUAUUACUGGAUGAAGAAUUUGUGGACUUCCAUAAUUAAGAGUCUACUUGUGUGAAUAUAGAUAAGGUUCCCUUACCUGUGGAAGAAACUAUUACACAUGUAUAUAUCUUUCCCAUUUCCUUCUCAACACCUAAUCUUUGUGGAAUAGAAAGUGAAAUGUGUUCUGAGAAGGAAGGAAAAAGAACUCCUAAUACUACAGUAUUUCUUGAUAUGGUAACUGCUCAAAUUUGCCUUAGUUCUUUGUAUGUAGGAAUAGAGUGGAUUGAAUGGAGCAAACUCCUUGUAGUAUUUUACCAUUUUAUUUCUAAGGUGAUGAUGCAAAAGUGUCAGAAGCCAGAUUUUUCCAAUUAACUACUAUAACCUUUAUAUAUGCUUUAAAUGGAAUAGUUCAUAAUAACACCUGGAAUUGUAGGAGUGACAUAUGGAAUCCAGAAAGAUCUUUGAAAUGAAAUUAAGCAAUAGUCAAGGGGCAAAAGUCAGUAGGAAUGAGGGUUAAAGGAAGACUAAAUAAAUUCCUUCUCAAAUGGUAUCAGCAGAUUUGUUUGGUUAUCAGCUUGCACAUAUUUAACCCAACAUAUAAACAAGGGGGGGCUAAGUAAUAUCUUUGGAUAAUACUGGUAGGCAUAAAGCACAAGAAGUAGAAAAUAAAAAACAGAGAGAAAGGGAGUGGGGAAAGAAAAAAGGUUAAAAAAUAAAGAAAAUCCAUGGUACAGUAUGAGUAUUCACAUGCAUAUUCCUUGGAUUCUCAACCACAUUCCAAAUUUGUGGACAAUGCUGGUAACCUGGCCAAAUCUCAUUUUCCAAGCCUCUGUCUUGCUUUAGGCCUUCACUAAACAAAUAGCCCACUGUCAGCCUGCAAAUGAGUACUGACCUCCCCAGCUUGGGCCCACAUGAAAUUAGGCUCAGACUAGAGGAGAAAUUAAGACACUUCCUACUCCCCCACCCCCACCCCAGCAAAGGUCUCAAAACAUAGUUUCUUUUUCCUUUUUAUAUCAUUUUUGUUUAGUAAGCUUGUGACUCCGUUGUGGAUGGGAAGGCUGUAUGUGCUAGAGCAUAUGCCACGAAUAAGCUCUGUUGGACUGUGCAAUUUUUCUUAGCCCACAUUAUCAUAGUUGUCUUAGGUGAUAAAUCUGUAUGGUUGAAAUUUGGAGACCAGGUCCCUGGUGCUGCUGGUUCUAGGAUCAAACUGUAGAGUAUCAGAGAUAGUUCUCUAGGCUUGCAUAGUUUAAGCAUAAACUUGUCCUGUAUCGUGCUUAUUAAUCUUUGUAUCAUAAAUAUGACCAAAAGUCAAGACCAUGUCAUAAACUUAAUAGCACUAAUGAAGGAACAAAAUAUUUGAGAAUUCCUGAAAAAUCUAGCAUGCUUUCCGGUCAUAUGUAUGAGGGGAGAUGUUGAGAAAACCAAAUUUUUUCUAAGACAAGAGAAGGUGUGUGCAGACAACGUAUAUUUUAAAGGUAAAUUAUCUGGUUCCUUUUAGAAGAGUGAAGAACAAUUGUUAAACACUUCAUUGGCUUUCUUAUUAUCCUAUAUGUAGGCUACGUAAGCAUAUGCUUGAGUAAUCAUUUCCUGACUUGGAAUGAACCCAGAAGAGAUGGCUUGCCUAGAGGUCAGGAGGUUAGCCUUGGAGCCUUCUGGAUCCAGGGAGGAAGCUACCACAGAAUCUUCAUAAAGUGUUCUCUUAUUAAAAAUGUAACCUGUGGUGGUACCUGCUUUCCAACUAAGAUGUUACACGAUGUAUCUAAUGGUGCAAUUUAAACCCUCCAAGGGGAGAUUAAGCAGAUAUUUUUAAUCAAGGUGCCAUCCUCCUCACUCCACAAAUCCCACUGUUUGAAGCAGCCUAACUCAAGCCAUUUCUCACGUGAUUGGGUGGUUUUUCCAUUGUUAACGAAGCUAAAUUUUAACUGAGUUCUAUCUGACUUUUAUCUGAAUUUCAUCAGAACAUUACGGUCAUGGCUUUUUAAAAAUGUAUUUCCUUUGAUUAUCCUUCCCAUUUUAUAGCCCUUCCAAAUUGUAGAGAAAAUUGAGCUAGAAGUGUUUUCUUCCUCCAGGGCACAUUGCUGAUAUUUCUUGACUCAUCUCACUGAGACAUGACACAGACCCUCAGAAGACAGUGUUCUAGGAGUCGUUCAGCUGUGACCAAGAAUCUCCAAUUCUGUUUCUUAGUAGCUGAAACAGGAAACUUCGUUUUUUACCUCGACAUCUGCUCCUGUUUUCAUGAUUCAUGAAUAUAGUGGUGCAAAAACUUUUCAGUGGUUUCUUAGAUAAGACACCACAAGCAUAAGCAACAACAAAAGAAAAAAUAGAUAAACUGGACUUCAUCAAACCUUAAAACUUUUGUGUUCCAAAGAACAGCACCAAGAAAGUGAAAACACAACCCACAGAAUGGGAGAAGAUACUUGAAAUCAUAUAUCUGAUAAGGACUCAUAUGUAGAAUAAUGAACUCUUACACCUCAAUAAUAAAAAGACAACCCAACUAAAAAAAUGGACAAAAUCUCUGAAUAAAGGAAACGACGGAUGUUGGUGAGGAUGUGGAGAAAGGGGAACCCUCCUACACUGUUGGUGGGAAUGCAAGCUGGUGCAGCCACUCUGGAAAACAGUAUGGAGGUUCCUCAAAAAGUUGAAAAUUGAGC